GGAAGUCCUAAAGUUCAAAUAAACCAACAGAGGACUUGAAACACCUGCAACAACUGCUCCUCACAGAGGUCUAUAAAUGAUCCCAAGAUCUUCAAAUUGCAUCAUGAGCUUCACGGGAAGCCAGUGAAGAGAAAUCAGGUGUCGCAUGAGACCUUUAACAGCCUGGUUAAGAAAAUAGAUGACACUUCUUGCUUAAGUUCAGACCUGAGGCUUUAUAUGACACUGAAUCACUUUUCUUUUACAAUAAACUGACGUACGAUGUGUAAUUAAAAAGUCACACAAACCCUGUAAAUUAGAGCUUGUGCUGUGACAGCUUCAUGCCAGCCAGGGACGCACUGAAUACCUGUGGGCAGGUGAUGAUGACAAGUCUAACAAUGUCUGACUCUAUAAAAAGAAACGUGCUCCCAAAUUAUCUAUCAUUUCCUUGUAUGCUUUGACUCAGGAAGACUAAUUACACCUGAAGGUGUCCUUUUGAAAAGAAAAUGCAAUCCUAAAGGUGAGGAAGAAACAUCAUAAAGUGACAAACAUUCAUGAUGCAGAGGUGAUAAAAUACCAACAUAUGAAUCACACAUUUGAUAAUGUUAUAGAGCGAGAAAACAAGUGCAUCAAGUCUGACUCCCGCCUCCAUUAACAAGAACAAUAUAAAGGCAGAACUUAAUGUUCAGAUGUAAAUGUUCAACAUUAUUAACCUUGUGCUUUUUGGGUGCAGUGAUGUUUAUCUUUCCAGUUUUCCUGUCAUUUAAAGCAUGUUAAGAGUGAUUUUACUUCCUCUCAGUUUGUACAUAUUAAAAGAAUUCUGUAUCUGAUCAUCUUCAAGCUCGAUUAAGGACAUGCUGAAAUAAAAUCUCCUUUUAAACUGUUUCUGCAAGUAAGUGAUAAAUUUAAUUGUUGAAAAAGACAAAAGAAUGAAAAGAUCUGCUAACCCGUGAACAAGCAAGCUCAGCUAAGAGAUAAGACAAAUGAUUUGUGUCCACACAGGAUGGCAAAAUCAUCACUCACUGAACAUUUUCACGAAACACAUCAAUUAAAAGGAAAAAAAAAAUUAGUUUUUAAAAGUCUCACAGGUACUGGAUCAAUCAGUCGCAAAGUCAAGAUACAAGUGCGUCACAUAGUUUUGGGUCCUUUAGAAUCCAGCAAAAACAAAAACAAUGUUUUGUUUUUUUUAACUUUCAGUCCAGAUUCAUUUUAAAGCUCCUGUAAGGAACUUUAUGUCUAUGUCAAUUUUGGCGCCCCCCUGUGGACAAAGCAGUCUUUACUUGUUAUGUCCUUUAAAUGCUUGUCAGUUGUAGACACAUGAAAAGACUAGCAUUAUUGGCCCACAAUAAUAAUAAUAUCAUUAAUAUCCAGUGUAAAUCACAAAUAUUCUGAUGCUGCUAAACUAGGCGAAUGUUGCUCGAUAAUCCCUUAAAAUAAGAUUAUGUGAAAAAAAGUUAAACAACUGGUUUUAAAGCUGCUGUGAGAAAUUAAGUUUGUGUUAAUUGGACAAAUUGUCCUGUGGACAAAGCAGUCUUUGCUUAUCAUGUCCUCUAAAUGUUUCAGUAUUUUUACUUGAUGAAAAAUCUCAUCCUUCUAUAUUUUACAGUCGAAGGUGUUAUACAGUGUCAAUAUUUUACAAACAGGGCUGUUUUUCAGCUGCUCAGCUGACACCUACCCCCUUUGUGCCGAUUUAAGGCAACAUAAAUUGAAAUAUCCAAAUUGUCAAUUAUGUCCCUGAUGGUCUUGUUUGCUUUUGGAUAUCAUGAAAAGGCAUUAAUAUAAAAUUCAGUCUGUUUCAAAAAUGUCAAAAAACUCCUUACAGGAGCUUUAAUGAAGUAAAAUUUUGCAUUGUACAAAGGCAGGAUAAUCUGCUCUGUUAGGACUGUAGCCCAGUCAGUGUGCUUAAUGUUUUUACACCCUGAAGUUUAUUAUUCUGUAUUUCUACCUGCAAUACAGCCAAGAAACUCAACCACGAUGUAAUAUUUCUCAUGAAAAAUCCCCCAAAUGCCUAAAUUUCCACCCACAAAAAAGCAUGACAGGAACAGCUGCAGAAAAUCCCUUUAAAGGGAUCAAUAGCGAGCCGACCUUUGUCACGCCCUGCUCGGCGUUUAGCUGUGCACUUUAAGGUCAUUGUAAAGUUCCCGGUUGUUCCUGCCCACUUUGAUCUUUUAUUGUAGGCUUUGAUGAGGAGCAUUAAAACAGGUCAUUUGCUUUAUGUCCCUCUCAGUCCCAUCAGCAGGCCGAUGAUGUUAGCUCCACUAAAACUCAAGCCAGAGGUCGACGUCUGUGAAUUAAUUGUGGAGCGCGAAAGACGCCAUUCCCGGACAACAUAUUGAUCCUGGGAUGUUGAAUAUGCUAAACAUUUGUCUGACAGCGCUGCCUUGAAUUUCAGGCAUACUGCCUCCCUAGAAUACCAGGGGAUUGCUUUGAAUUAUGCUGCUAAUGAAGGAUGCAAAACUGUCGUCAUCAAGUAUUAAAUCAUUUGCCUUUGUCCCCAGCAAUUACCAUGUUAAAUAAGUCCUUGAUUAAAAUUCCUAAUACCUCUAUUAUUGAUGUUUGCUUUUGCACUGAGCAGGUUUCAAAAUGGCUUUCCUGGCUCAGGCAUGUAAUCUCCUCAUAGUGAAGAUGUGAGCGCACAUCCCUCUUUCUUAUAUGUGCUUAUGUGUAAAAGUCACACAGGAGUGAGAAUUUAAGCUUUCCCUCCCUCCAUAUCACUCUCCAGAAGCCGAGAAAUCCUGUCAUUAUGUGGCCUUAAAUGUUUUUAAUCUUCUUUAAGGUGCCAUUUAUCACUCAAAGCAUCUUCCCCAGACAAAUGUUCCGUCUCCUGGAUUCAUUUUUCAUCUCAAAGUCUCGUCAUGUAAAGGGGCUUUUGCUUCUGGUGACAUCUGCUGGUGCUGAGUUUGGGUAAAACUUUCAGAAACUCAAGAAGAGACCGGGUGCUUUCAGGUAAAAGGUUGUCACAUUUAGCAGGAUUUUUCGGACCCUGCCAAAGCCAACUGUCUAUCCCGCGACACAUGCAACGCCAAAAUCCCCGGAGCAAAACAGAUCCUAAGCAACAAAGAAUACUUUCUGACAGUCCGUGUUUGAGUUUCUUCUGGUUUCAGACAACCAGACUUGUAUUUCAAACAUCCAGCCGCAAACCCUGCAGGCUAGCUUGUCCGCAUUUGAUGUUGAACUUUAUCCCGUUGACCCAAGCACCCAGGAGUCUGCUGUCCGUCAUUGGUUUGAAGUCUGAGUGAAAAAAGAAAGUUUCCAGGCUCUAGCAGUGUGAAAUAAAAUGUGUGUAAAAACCUGUUUAAUUGCCUCUCAGGACUUUUGUUCAGGCGCAGAGUGAGACGCCUCCACACUGAGCGGCUGUGUGUGAUGGAGAAGACAUGUGUUUGAUAGCCAAUCACAGAGACUCUUUGGGAAACUCGGAGAGGGAACAAUGUGGAGGAUUUCUUUUGAUUAUUGAAGACAGAGUAUCAUGUAGUGGAAGAUUUCAGAUCCUUUUGGGGGGUUUUAAUUAAUGACUCCCUGCUGAUUGCUUCAGUGAUUAGCGACAGACAUGAAAUCAAACGUGCAUCAAAUGACUUUUUCAUAAUGUAGAGAUUUGCACAACAGUUUUACAUGUGUUGGAGAAAGAGCGGGCUAAAGACAUAAUGGUGAAGUGUUCGUUUUGACCUGGUCAGAGACAGACGCCCACCGCUGUGACAUAUAAUGUGACAUGCUAUGAUAUGAAGCUCAUGGCUGGAGACCCUUGGAGUCUGAGUGACACUCAAGAUAAGAGCAUGUUGUGAACACUAACCAAACCACCCAGACACUGUUUCCAAAAUGAGACCUGAAGUAGCAUAAAUAGAGAAACGCUUGUAUACAUCCUCCCGAAGUGGAA